UUACCGAGUGAGGGCCCUCUGGGUCCAACCUCCCACCCGUGUUUAUUUUACCUUGUUGCUUCGGCGGGCCCGCCUUAACUGGCCGCCGGGGGGCUUACGCCCCCGGGCCCGCGCCCGCCGAAGACACCCUCGAACUCUGUCUGAAGAUUGUAGUCUGAGUGAAAAUAUAAAUUAUUUAAAACUUUCAACAACGGAUCUCUUGGUUCCGGCAUCGAUGAAGAACGCAGCGAAAUGCGAUACGUAAUGUGAAUUGCAAAUUCAGUGAAUCAUCGAGUCUUUGAACGCACAUUGCGCCCCCUGGUAUUCCGGGGGGCAUGCCUGUCCGAGCGUCAUUUCUGCCCUCAAGCACGGCUUGUGUGUUGGGCCCCGUCCUCCGAUCCCGGGGGACGGGCCCGAAAGGCAGCGGCGGCACCGCGUCCGGUCCUCGAGCGUAUGGGGCUUUGUCACCCGCUCUGUAGGCCCGGCCGGCGCUUGCCGAUCAACCCAAAUUUUUAUCCAGGUUGACCUCGGAUCAGGUAGGGAUACCCGCUGAACUUAAGCAUAUCAAUAAGCGGAGGAAAAGAAACCAACAGGGAUUGCCCCAGUAACGGCGAGUGAAGCGGCAAGAGCUCAAAUUUGAAAGCUGGCUCCUUCGGGGUCCGCAUUGUAAUUUGUAGAGGAUGCUUCGGGAGCGGUCCCCAUCUAAGUGCCCUGGAACGGGACGUCAUAGAGGGUGAGAAUCCCGUAUGGGAUGGGGUGUCCGCGCCCGUGUGAAGCUCCUUCGACGAGUCGAGUUGUUUGGGAAUGCAGCUCUAAAUGGGUGGUAAAUUUCAUCUAAAGCUAAAUAUUGGCCGGAGACCGAUAGCGCACAAGUAGAGUGAUCGAAAGAUGAAAAGCACUUUGAAAAGAGAGUUAAAAAGCACGUGAAAUUGUUGAAAGGGAAGCGCUUGCGACCAGACUCGCUCGCGGGGUUCAGCCGGCAUUCGUGCCGGUGUACUUCCCCGCGGGCGGGCCAGCGUCGGUUUGGGCGGUCGGUCAAAGGCCCUCGGAAGGUAACGCCCCUAGGGGCGUCUUAUAGCCGAGGGUGCAAUGCGACCUGCCUAGACCGAGGAACGCG
rnacentral:rRNA from 1 species